rnacentral:rRNA from 1 species
GUCAUUGUAGUAAUACAAGGCAGACGGCUCAGUAACACGUAGUCAACCUAACUUAUGGACGGGGAUAACCUCGGGAAACUGAGAAUAAUACCCGAUAGGUCAUGAUGCCUGGAAUGGUUUAUGACUCAAAUGAAUGUCGCCGUAGGAUGGGACUGCGAGCUAUCAGCUUGUUGGUGAGGUAAUGGCCCACCAAGGCUAUAACAGCUACGGGCUCUGAGAGGAGUAGCCCGGAGAUGGGUACUGAGACAAGGACCCAGGCCCUAUGGGGCGCAGCAGGCGAGAAAACUUUGCAAUGCGCGAAAGCUCGACAAGGUUAAUCUGAGUGGUUCCUGCUAAAGGAACCUUUUGUUAGUCGUAGAACCACUGAUGAAUAAGGGGUGGGCAAGUUCUGGUGUCAGCCGCCGCGGUAAAACCAGCACCUCAAGUGGUCAGGAUGAUUAUUGGGCCUAAAGCAUCCGUAGCCUGUUCUGUAAGUUUUCGGUUAAAUCCAUAAGCUCAACGUACAGGCUGCCGGGAAUACUGCAGAGCUAGGGAGUGGGAGAGGUAGACGGUACUCGGUAGGAAGGGGUAAAAUCCUUUGAUCUAUUGAUGACCACCUGUGGCGAAGGCGGUCUACCAGAACACGUCCGACGGUGAGGGAUGAAAGCUGGGGGAGCAAACCGGAUUAGAUACCCGGGUAGUCCCAGCUGUAAACUAUGCAAACUCAGUGAUGCAUUGGCUUGUGGCCAAUGCAGUGCUGCAGGGAAGCCGUUAAGUUUGCCGCCUGGGAAGUACGUACGCAAGUAUGAAAC